UCAGUUACAAUCUAGCAUCUGGGGCACAUUACGAGUAUCUGAUUACUCUUCAAUAGCCUCGGGAAGGUCUGAGAUUUGGUCAAAGUUCAACAAAAGCACGCUGUUGGUGCGUGUGAACUUAAACUAAUAAAUUUUCUAGCAGGAAACUUGUAUAAUAAAAAGGCAAAAGAACAAGAAAAUCUGCACGCGUUUGUUCUGCAAAGAUCAUUUGCGCUGCAUUGGAAUCUUUUGUGACCAGCAAUUUAAGUGCGAUGUGCUUGCUGCAUUCUAUGCAGAACUCAAUUCAGACUAAUCUGCAACUGA
rnacentral:RNase_P_RNA from 12 species